UUAGGGUUAGUGUGGUUAAGGUUAGGCAUUAGGGUUAGUGUGGUUAAGGUUAAGGUUAGGCAUUAGGGUUAGUGUGGUUAAGGUUAGGCAUUAGGGUUAGUGUGGUUAAGGUUAAGGUUAGGCAUUAGGGUUAGUGUGGUUAAGGUUAAGGUUAUGCAUUAGGGUUAGUGUGGUUAAGGUUAAGGUUAGGCAUUAGGGUUAGUGUGGUUAAGGUUAAGGUUAGGCAUUAGGGUUAGUGUGGUUAAGGUUAAGGUUAGGCAUUAGGGUUAGUGUGGUUAAGGUUAGGGUUAGUGUGGUUAAGGUUAAGGUUAAGGUUAGGCAUUAGGCUUAGUGUGGUUAAGGUUAAAGUUAAGGUUAGGCAUUAGGGUUAGUGUGGUUAGGGUUAAGGUUAAGGUUAGGCAUUAGGGUUAGUGUGGUUAAGGUUAAGGUUAGGCAUUAGGGUUAGUGUGGUUAAGGUUAAGGUUAGGCAUUAGGGUUAGUGUGGUUAAGGUUAAGGUUAGGCAUUAGGGUUAGUGUGGUUAAGGUUAAGGUUAGGCAUUAGGGUUAGUGUGGUUAAGGUUAAGGUUAAGGUUAGGCAUUAGGCUUAGUGUGGUUAAGGUUAAAGUUAAGGUUAGGCAUUAGGGUUAGUGUGGUUAGGGUUAAGGUUAAGGUUAGGCAUUAGGGUUAGUGUGGUUAAGGUUAAGGUUAGGCAUUAGGGUUAGUGUGGUUAAGGUUAAGGUUAGGCAUUAGGGUUAGUGUGGUUAAGGUUAAGGUUAAGGUUAGGCAUUAGGGUUAGUGUGGUUAAGGUUAGAUUUAGGUUUCAAAUCAGAUUUGAUGACUUUGUGGCUGUGCCAACUAGUGACCACUCUGCAGAGCUGCCUCCAGAACAACAUUCAUGUCAACAACCUCUUGCUUCCUCUGAGAUAAUAUUUACAUAGACUGAAGCGAGGUGGCGAUGUUAUGAUGGAAGACCAAAUGGAUUCCUAGAGCUGUGAUGCUGAAUGGGAAGACAGAGCCACAGAGCCACAGAGCUGUAAAAAUAAAUCUGUAAUUCUAUAAGCCUCCUUAAUUCCCCUCCCCUCUCCUUUCCUUUCCUUUCCAAUCUUCUCUUCUCCUCUCCUCUCCUGUCCUGUCCUCUCCUCUCAUUUCCUUUCCAAUCUUCUCCUCUCCUCUCCUCUCCUCUCCUCUCCUCUCCUCUCCUCUCCUCUCCUCUCCUCUCCUCUCCUCUCCUCUCCUCUCCUUUCCUUUCCUGUCCUUUCCUUUCCAAUCUUCUCCUCUCCUCUCAUCUCCUUUCCUCUCCUUUCCUUUCCUUUCCUCUCCUUUCCUUUCCAAUCUAC
rnacentral:lncRNA from 1 species